rnacentral:rRNA from 1 species
UACGUAGGGGGCAAGCGUUGUCCGGAAUCAUUGGGCGUAAAGCGCGUGUAGGCGGCCAGAAAAGCCCGCUGUGAAAACUCGAGGCUCAACUUCGAGCUGUCGGUGGAAACUUUCUGGCUAGAGUCCGGAAGAGGAGAAUGGAAUUCCUGGUGUAGCGGUGAAAUGCGCAGAUAUCAGGAAGAACACCCGUGGCGAAGGCGGUUCUCUGGGACGGUACUGACGCUGAGACGCGAAAGCGUGGGGAGCGAACAGG